AUUGAACGCUGGCGGCAGGCCUAACACAUGCAAGUCGAGCGGAUGAAGGGAGCUUGCUCCUGGAUUCAGCGGCGGACGGGUGAGUAAUGCCUAGGAAUCUGCCUGGUCGUGGGGGAUAACGUCCGGAAACGGGCGCUAAUACCGCAUACGUCCUGAGGGAGAAAGUGGGGGAUCUUCAGACCUCACGCUAUCAGAUGAGCCUAGGUCGGAUUAGCUAGUUGGUGGGGUAAAGGCCUACCAAGGCGACGAUCCGUAACUGGUCUGAGAGGAUGAUCAGUCACACUGGAACUGAGACACGGUCCAGACUCCUACGGGAGGCAGCAGUAGGGAAUAUUGGACAAUGGGCGAAAGCCUGAUGCAGCCAUGCCGCGUGAGUGAUGAAGGUCUUCGGAUUGUAAAGCACUUUAAGUUGGGAGGAAGGACAGUAAGUGUAAACCUUGCUGUCUUGACGUUACCAACAGAAAAAGCCACGGCUAACUACGUG
rnacentral:rRNA from 1 species